UUUUUCUUUUGAGUAU
rnacentral:sRNA from 1 species